UGGGGAAUAUUGGACAAUGGGCGCAAGCCUGAUCCAGCCAUGCCGCGUGAGUGAUGAAGGCCCUUAGGGUUGUAAAGCUCUUUCGCCGGUGAAGAUAAUGACGGUAACCGGAGAAGAAGCCCCGGCUAACUUCGUGCCAGCAGCCGCGGUAAUACGAAGGGGGCUAGCGUUGCUCGGAAUCACUGGGCGUAAAGCGCACGUAGGCGGAUCGUUAAGUCAGGGGUGAAAUCCUGGAGCUCAACUCCAGAACUGCCCUUGAUACUGGCGAUCUCGAGUUCGAGAGAGGUUGGUGGAACUCCGAGUGUAGAGGUGAAAUUCGUAGAUAUUCGGAAGAACACCAGUGGCGAAGGCGGCCAACUGGCUCGAUACUGACGCUGAGGUGCGAAAGCGUGGGGAGCAAAACAGGAUUAGAUACCCUGGUAGUCCACGCCGUAAACGAUGGAUGCUAGCCGUUGGGGGGUUUACCUCUCAGUGGCGCAGCUAACGCCUUAAGCAUCCCGCCUGGGGAGUACGGUCGCAAGAUUAAAAACUUAAAUGAAUUGAC
rnacentral:rRNA from 1 species